rnacentral:rRNA from 1 species
UACGUAGGGUGCGAGCGUUAAACGGAAUUACUGGGCGUAAAGCGUGCGCAGGCGGCUUCGCAAGUCAGACGUGAAAUCCCCGGGCUUAACCUGGGAAUGGCGUUUGAAACUACGGAGCUGGAGUGUGGCAGAGGGAGGUAGAAUUCCACGUGUAGCGGUGAAAUGCGUAGAUAUGUGGAGGAAUACCGAUUGCGAAGGCAGCCUACUGGAGGUCAACCGACGCUCAGGCACGAAAGCGUGGGGAUCAAACAGG